rnacentral:misc_RNA from 1 species
AUAGAUGAAGGAGAAGAGAUAAUAUAGAUGU